UACGUUUCUGGAAGAAAAGGAUAUUUGUGUU
rnacentral:piRNA from 1 species